UUUGAAGUGAACAGAGUGUGUUAAAAAAUAAUCUUCCAGCCAAGAGUUUCCAGCUGUUACUCUUGAGCUGUCAGGUUUAUCAAAGUAACGUGGGGGCCCUCACAGAGCUGUGAACCAGAGCAGGAACAUUACGAUUUGGUGCUUCUCAGAUUGGGAUUAAGAUCUCCACUUAAAAGGCUCGUCGAAAAAGGAAGAUCUCCAAAUGGCUGCCAAUAGACUAGAGAGAUGGUCCCUGUCUGAUGUGUACCAAGAGGGAGUUCCAAAGAGCAGGGACCACCACACUAAAGGCCUUCCACAGAAUAAACCUCCUGAUGGGAUGGUAUCUGCAGGAGGCCUUCUCCUGCAGAGCAAAGUGAUCAACUAGGCACAUAAGAGAUUCUGAUAAGCUGGUGAAGGAACUGCAAGGAUGUUGGUGGCAAUGUAUGGAUGGAAGGUGGAAGAAAGGAAAUAGAAUUCAAUUGAGAGUCAUGAUUCUUGAUACAAGAGCAAUGUGUCAACACAUUUACUAGGAUGGAACAGCCCACAUGUCAUGGAGAGUAACAUGACAAGCUAAGAGCUCCAACAAACACUUUCAAAGGAAGCAGCAGACAGGAAGCGCAGUUAGCAUUUGUGCUUCUUCUUAUUCACAGACAUCUGGAUCUUGUUCCCUUCAGGGGGAUGUAUAUUCUGUUCUCAGAUUGAGAGAAGAUAGAUUCGUCCAGAGGGGAACUGCACAUACCCCAUGUAUCCAAUACUGAGGACUGUUCCUACCAUUAGGCAAAAUGCGACCACUGAUUUUGGAUGUCAAGAAAGGGUAGCAAUUGCUGUUGUUG